AACGAACGCUGGCGGCAGGCCUAACACAUGCAAGUCGAGCGAGGACUUCGGUUCUAGCGGCGGACGGGUGAGUAACGCGUGGGAAUGUGCCCUUCUCUACGGAAUAGCCCUGGGAAACUGGGAGUAAUACCGUAUACGCCCUAUUGGGGAAAGAUUUAUCGGAGAAGGAUCAGCCCGCGUUGGAUUAGGUAGUUGGUGGGGUAAUGGCCUACCAAGCCGACGAUCCAUAGCUGGUUUGAGAGGAUGAUCAGCCACACUGGGACUGAGACACGGCCCAGACUCCUACGGGAGGCAGCAGUGGGGAAGCUUAGACAAUGGGGGCAACCCUGAUCUAGCCAUGCCGCGUGAGUGAUGAAGGCCUUAGGGUUGUAAAGCUCUUUCAGCUGGGAAGAUAAUGACGGUACCAGCAGAAGAAGCCCCGGCUAACUCCGUG
rnacentral:rRNA from 1 species